AUGACACACACGUUCCCCAGAUAUUGGAUAUAAAAACCAAGAAUCCAUUUCAAUAACAAUCAGGCACUUUGAAUUUCGAAGGAAUGACGUCAGAAGCUGACAGGAAUUUUGCAGGAAUGGGAAUAAAGGAUGGAUACACCCAAAUUUUUCGGAGGAAAACUCACCAAGGCAAGCUGGCACCUCUUGGAGGCCGGGACUAAACCCACCCUGCACAAACUUAGGAAUAAUUUAACUGGAAAACUUCUGGGCUCUCCUCCAGCACUGCACACUGGAUGUCAGGCACCAGCAGGGGAAAAACUCUCCUUUGAAUGCCCAGAUCUGGUGGGAUUCCUUUGUAAUGUGCACUCCCCUCCAGGCCUUUUGAAGCUUCACUUUAGGCUCGGUUCAAGUGAGCAGUCUUGAUUUGUGAUUCCUCAUGGCAUUUUCACUCUGGAGCUCUCUGUUGCUUUGUUUGCUUGGAAAAGAGGAUAAAAAACAGAGAGUGAAGAGAAAUCACUCUGUAAAUCAAUGCCUGGCGAGCUCUUAGCCGAGAAAUGAUUUUAUUUAUUAAAGAUGUGAAAAUCCCCCUUCCAUUUCACACCUAAAUCUUCACUUAAGCAAGAUAACUCCAGUCCUGGAUGAGGAACAAGCAGGGAGAAGGAGAAAUGUUUGGGAGUAGCACAAGUGGCGGGGGUUGAGCUCAUCAGGAUUUUAUAACGCACAGAAAAAAGACAAUGGAGUUCACAACAGCAAAAAGAGAGAAUAGAAUGUGAAAUAUGGCCCUAAAAUCUGCUCCAUCCGUGGAACAACAGCUUUCCCCAGCUGUCUGACAGCUGUAAAGAUGUUCCAUCAGGAGGAAUAACAGAUAUUUGUCACCCAGGUCAGUGGUUAUUUUAUCCCCAGUUUAGGUUUUCUGGCUCAUUCAGCAAUCAAAGGCUGAUGACAGGCACAGGAUGAUGAAGGAUUUGGGCAGUGCUGACCCACAACUCAUCCCCCACCUCUGCUGUGUCCAGCCUGCUCAGGAACUGCC